UGACAUUAUAUUUUAGUUUCUCUUUAUAUUUAUGAUUCUUUUUAUGAAAUAAAUAGUAAAAUAACCAAAAGUGAGAUUGGGAGUUAUUGUACCGACGAAGUUCCGUACAUUUAGUGGUGCCGUGACCAGGAUUAAACGGGAAAUUGUGCAAAAUACACACGAGACUUUGAGUAUUAAUUUAAAAGUAUGACCGACGGCGAAUUGGGUACAAACGUGAGUGAUUCAAGUCAAGUUGAUGAACAAGAAAAGAUUUUAGAGAGUAAAAUAACUAAAGCAGUCGAUAAACUAAAGUAUUAUCUGGAGGAAACUGACGAACUCGUCGAGAAUAAUGAAAUAUCCGAGUUGCGAAUUGCAUCGAAAAGAACUGACGAAAUUCGAGACGAAUUAAAUGAUCUUCUUUCACGCGUACAAGAGCUAAAAUUAGACUCGGGAAACACAACGCAAAGGGCGAUCAGGCAAUGGAAAAAGGAUUUGAAAGCGAGUUUUGCACCGUUAUUGGAGAAAAAGGAGAAAAUCAAUGGAGUAUUAGAGAACAUAGAGAAAAAACGUUGUUUAGAUUUGGAGACAGAAAAGUUAAAGGUGAAAUUUGAGAACGAAGAGAAGUUUAGAAUCGAGUUACAAGAGAGAGAGAAAGCACUUUGGGAAGAGAGAUUAAAAGCUGAGAUCAAGAUGACCGAGAAGAAGUUAGAGAUGGAGACUGCCGCAAAGGUAUGUAGAUCAAAAUUACCUGAACUUAAAAUAACUCCAUUCAAGGGGACCCCAGAAGAUUGGAUUAGAUUCGAGAACAUGUUUACGACACAAG